AGAGUUUGAUUCUGGCUCAGGAUGAACGCUGGCGGCGUGCCUAACACAUGCAAGUCGAACGAAGCAUUAGAACUUGAUUUUUUCGGAAUGAAGGUUCAUAUGACUGAGUGGCGGACGGGUGAGUAACGCGUGGGCAACCUGCCUUACACAGGGGGACAACAGCUGGAAACGGCUGCUAAUACCGCAUAAGCGCACGGUCUCGCAUGAGACAGUGUGAAAAACUCCGGUGGUGUAAGAUGGGCCCGCGUCUGAUUAGCUGGUUGGUGGGGUAACGGCCUACCAAGGCGACGAUCAGUAGCCGACCUGAGAGGGUGACCGGCCACAUUGGGACUGAGACACGGCCCAAACUCCUACGGGAGGCAGCAGUGGGGAAUAUUGCACAAUGGGGGAAACCCUGAUGCAGCGACGCCGCGUGAGCGAAGAAGUAUUUCGGUAUGUAAAGCUCUAUCAGCAGGGAAGAAAAUGACGGUACCUGACUAAGAAGCUCCGGCUAAAUACGUGCCAGCAGCCGCGGUAAUACGUAUGGAGCAAGCGUUAUCCGGAUUUACUGGGUGUAAAGGGAGCGU
rnacentral:rRNA from 1 species